AUUCUUUGUUGUAGCAUCUUUGCCAUAGCAUAUUUAGUUAUUUAUUUCUUUAUUUACAUUCUAUUAGGAUAACCACUCUCGUUAUUUCCAUUACAUUUCUACUUUCACCUUUUGCCAUAACAUUUCCAAUUAUUCAUUAGUUCCACGUAUCGCUUACAUCAUUAUUCCACUAAUUGCCACUACACAUUUAUCAUUGACUUUGGCAUAGCAUUAAUCAUAUUUUAUUAUAAUAACUUGACCACUUUUGUGCCUCAAUCCGAUCCUUGUGGCAACAAUAUUCACUCAUUACUUUAUUAUUUGAACUGACGUGUAUACUUGC
rnacentral:lncRNA from 1 species